CCUACGGGUUGCUGCAGUGAGGAAUAUUGGUCAAUGGGCUUACGCCUGAACCAGCCAAGUCGCGUGAGGGAAGACUGCCCUAUGGGUUGUAAACCUCUUUUGUCAGGGAGCAAUUGACGCUACGUGUAGCGUUAUCGACCGUACCUGAAGACAAAGCAGCAGCUAACUCCGUGCAAGCAGCCGCGGUAAUACGGAGGAUGCGAGCGUUAUCCGGAUUUGUGGGGUUUAAUGGGUGCGUAGGCGGAAUGCCAAGUCAGCGGUAAAAUCGCGGGGCUCAACCGCGCUCCGCCGUUGAAACUGGCGGGCUGGAGUGGGCGAGAGGUAUGCGGAAUGCGUGGUGUAGCGGUGAAAUGCAUAGAUAUAACGAAGAACUCCGAUUGCGAAGGCAGCAUACCGGAGCCCAACUGACGCUGAAGCACGAAAGCGUGGAUAUCGAACAGGAUUAGAUACCCUUGUAGUC
rnacentral:rRNA from 1 species